rnacentral:rRNA from 1 species
CACGUAGGGCGUGAGCGUUGUCCGGAAUUAUUGGGCGUAAAGAGCUCGUAGGCGGCCUGUUGCGUCCGCUGUGAAAGCCCGGGGCUUAACCCCGGGUCGGCAGUGGAUACGGGCAGGCUAGAGGUAGGUAGGGGAGAAUGGAAUUCCCGGUGUAGCGGUGAAAUGCGCAGAUAUCGGGAGGAACACCGGUGGCGAAGGCGGUUCGCUGGGACGGUACUGACGCUGAGACGCGAAAGCGUGGGGAGCAAACAGG